rnacentral:lncRNA from 1 species
GUCUGUAGAUUAAAUCUGUUUCAGCUGUGAAUGAAAAAAGCUCAAAUAUAUUUUUGCGGAGGGGGAAAAAAAAAGAGGAAGAAGACAGAACAAAUGUCAAAAGAAAAACACAAGAGUUUGUUUUUGAAAAUUAACAAUCUGGAGAGAUUGAACUCUGGGUCAACAUUAAACAGAAGAAAGAUUCACUCUUCUGACCCUCGCUGGAAUGGAAUAUUACUGUAUUAUAUUACAUGUAUUACUUAAAUUACUUAUAUUGCCUUCUGCAGUAUCUGAGAAUGGAGACUACACCAAAGGAAGAUGGUGUAAUCAUACCUCCAAAAAAAAUAUCAUUUUUGCUCUCAGCUACACUGUGACUACAAAGUGUUAUACAGAAAACAGCUAGAUUCUGUAUAGGUCACACUCUUUGUACUCCCUAAAACAUCUGCAGUUUUGCAUCUCUUCUGUUAAUCAUUUCAAAUAUGAUAUAUAUCUAACCAAACAUGACACAUUUUUAAUAUAUGUUUUCUUCUGUACAUAAUAUGUAAGGAACAUUAACAAAAGUUAAUAGGUAUAUCUCCAAGCUAGACACAGAAGGCUGCUUUUUUUCCAGUAUUCUAGACUAUGCAUAUCUUUAGACUACAUAAGACUAAUCAACCUAGAUUUCCAAGUAAAAUUUCCAGGAAAAAAAAGCUGUUGAGGAAAUGCAAGAGGCACACCUUUUUGUGCCCAUGCACAGGUAAGCAUUACUCCUUUUCUGAAGCAUGAAAUGCUUUUCCCUGGGAGCCACACCACAGAGAGGGAAAGGAUGCUGGUGUUUUCCAAGUCUCCAACCUUUAUUUUUUUUGCUAGCCAGUCUCCAUCUGGACAGCCUUUGUCCACACUUUAUUGUUAAAAAACUACAAGCAAGCUCUGCCCCAUACUGAGUCCUGGUAUAUGGUGUACAAAAUGAAGUUGGAUAACAUUCACUCUGUGUUUGCCGUUUAUCUGUGGCGUUUAUAGAUGUUUACUACCUUUCCACCAAACUUCAGUUUGAAUAUUCAAGACAGAGAGUAGGUUUUCCCCACGGAGUCAGUCCCUCUGGAGACCUUCCAAGAUCCUUUCCACACCAACAGAGGCUCUGGUGCUAGUGGUCCUGCUUUUUUAACCUUAAAUUGCUUAAAGUUCAGUCUUGGGUUACAUUCCUGAACUAGGCAGACUAGAUUCUGCAUGGAAGAAUUUCUGGCAUAAACUGUUAGAUUGUUAUUUGAGAAUGUUAUUUGAGACCUCAAGUGUUCACGGACUACUGAAACAAAACUAUGAUGCCUUCACGUAGCUCCCAUGAUGGUUGUACCAUCCUGUUUAUUGAAUGGAAGGAGAAAAAGGUACUAAGCAGUUGGGAUUUUCAUAGUAAUCUUAGUUUUAUACCUGUGAUCAACCCAAUUGUAAGAUAAAGGAUUAAAAGCACAGUCACUCAAACUGGAAUGCAAAGAGGCGUCCAUCCCCCGACUCUACCGCAGUACUUGCCGAUGUGCAUCAGGCUACUAUUUUUGUAAAGCAUUUCACAUAAUUGGUAAAAUAAAGCAUGACAUUUUCCCUCUGAAGGAGGAGAA